rnacentral:pre_miRNA from 1 species
UUUAUACUCCCUUCGUCCUAAAAUUUUUGUCUUAGAUUAGUCUAGAUACAUAUGUAUCUAAUACUAAAACAUGACUUGAUACAUUCAUAUUUAAACAAAUCUAAGACAAAAAUUUUGAGACGGAGGGAGUACAAU